GUCCUAGCUGGCUGCCUCCUUCCACUGAUGCUCCAGGCAGCAUUGGGGCACAGUAUGAUGGUCAGGGGCGAGGAGAUGGCCAGCCCUUCACAGCUUUCCCUGGCAUCAACCCAAGACUACACCUGUUGGUCUGGAUUGCAGCUGGAAUUGGAAGGGAAAUGCAUUUCCAUUGAAGGAAGAAGUGUAACAGUGAGCAGGCAGGUGUCAGCGGAUCUCAAGAGAAUAAUGUCAACUGGACAAUGGCUUAGAGGCAGGAGGAGGCAGAUCAGCUAGGCAGAUGUGCAGAAGUUAAGUGUGGUUUCAUGCAGAAACUUCCAAAUGGAUUCAAGAGCCAAAGCCUUCAAGAAGUUGGUGUCAUUGUCACUUGGAAUAUGUUUGUAUUAAUACAGGUAGAAUAUGUUAAUAAACCAUAUUCUUAUCAAGAAUCUUCCAUUUACAGCCCUUAUUUUCUCCCUUUAUUUUUGCCCUUUCUUUUCUGCCUGGCUGUUUAACUCCUGGAUAUCUGAU
rnacentral:lncRNA from 1 species